GAUGAAGAACGUAGCGAAAUGCGAUAAGUAAUGUGAAUUGCAGAAUUCAGUGAAUCAUCGAAUCUUUGAACGCACAUUGCGCCCGCCAGUAUUCUGGCGGGCAUGCCUGUUCGAGCGUCAUUACAACCCUCAGGCCCCCGGGCCUGGCGUUGGGGAUCGGCGGAGCCCCCCGUGGGCACACGCCGUCCCCCAAAUACAGUGGCGGUCCCGCCGCAGCUUCCAUCGCGUAGUAGCUAACACCUCGCGACUGGAGAGCGGCGCGGCCACGCCGUAAAACACCCAACUCUUCUGAAGUUGACCUCGAAUCAGGUAGGAAUACCCGCUGAACUUAAGCAUACAAUAAGCGGAGGA
rnacentral:misc_RNA from 1 species